AGUGAUAUAGGUAAUCUUGGAUAUUGUUAAGUGAUAAAGGUAAUCUGGGAUAUUGUUAAGGGAUAUAGGUAAUCUUGGAUAUUGUUAAGUGAUAAAGGUAAUCUUGGAUAUUGUUAAGUGAUAUAGGUAAUCUUGGAUAUUGUUAAGUGAUAUAGGUAAUCUUGGAUAUUGUUAAGUGAUAAAGGUAAUCUUGGAUAUUGUUAAGGGAUAUUGGUAAUCUUGGAUAUUGUUAAGUGAUAAAGGUAAUCUUGGAUAUUGUUAAGGGAUAUUGGUAAUCUUGAAUAUUGUUAAGUGAUAAAGGUAAUCUUGGAUAUUGUUAAGUGAUAUAGGUAAUCUUGGAUAUUGUUAAGUGAUAAAGGUAAUCUUGGAUAUUGUUAAAUGAUAUAGGUAAUCUUGGAUAUUGUU
rnacentral:sRNA from 1 species